UUUCCUGGUUUUACAACCCAGGAAUAUAUAACCACUUAUAUCUUACACAGUCUUGAUUUAAUUUGCAGAUUCACUGAGCACAUUAAAUUUACCAGAGCAAAGUACAAACCCUAUAUCUGUUUCUGCUGAUGGUGAGGGGGGAAAUGUAUCUGAGAAGCAGGUCUCCCCUGACAAGCAAAUCCGAGCUGCCCUUCUGAGAAGCCGCUUUGCUGAUACGAUCCUUAAGGCUCGUGAAAAGGCCCUUGAUCAGACUACAAAGAAGGACCCCGAGAAGCUUCGACGCGAAAGGGAGGAACUUGAGAGGGUACAAAGAGAAGAGAGAGCUCGGUUGCAAGCUGAUGCUAAAGCUGCAGAGGACGUUCGCAAGAGGGCUGAAGCAGCAGCUGCUGAUGAGGCUGCUGCUGAAGCUAAGCGACAAAGAGAACUUGAGAGAGAAGCAGCUCGCAAAGCUUUGCAAGAGGUAAUAUCUACUGUAUGCUCUCCACAUUCAACAUCAUAUGCUCUGCUAUUGCCAUACUUGUAGUGUAAGCAAUGUUGGCUUGCAGAUGGAGAAAAUUGUUGACAUCAAUGAAGGGAGCCAUUUUUUGAAAGAUCUUGAAAUGCUCGGAAGUGUCACAGGUGAACAGAUACCCAACUUGGUUGGUGAAACAAGUCCUGGGUUUCAAAUGGGAAGCAACACACUAGAAAAGCUUGGGUUGUACGUGAAAAACG